rnacentral:sRNA from 1 species
CCCAGCCGAAGUGUCCACUUACCAUGUUUUCUGACCUGCCGCCCUGGAGAAUUUGCCGUUUCCUCUUUGGACUCCUGUGGACACUUUACCCCCCACCCCACCCCACCCUGGAGGAGCCGAUCACUUUCUGUGAGGAAGCCUUCGUGUCCCACUACCGCUCCGGAGCCAUGAGGCAGUUCCUGCAGAACGCCACACAGCUGCAGCUCUUCAAGCAGUUUAUUGAUGGUCGAUUAGAUCUUCUCAAUUCCGGCGAAGGUUUCAGUGAUGUUUUUGAAGAGGAAAUCAACAUGGGCGAGUACGCUGGCAGUGACAAACUGUACCAUCAGUGGCUCUCCACUGUCCGGAAAGGAAGUGGAGCAAUUCUGAAUACUGUAAAGACCAAAGCAAAUCCGGCCAUGAAGACUGUCUACAAGUUCGCAAAAGAUCAUGCAAAAAUGGGAAUAAAAGAGGUGAAAAACCGCUUGAAGCAAAAGGACAUUGCCGAGAAUGGCUGCGCCCCCACCCCAGAAGAGCAGCUGCCAAAGACUGCACCGUCCCCACUGGUGGAGGCCAAGGACCCCAAGCUCCGAGAAGACCGGCGGCCAAUCACAGUCCACUUUGGACAGACUCCUUGGUAUCUUUUUUGUUGUCUCCACCACAUCCCUUUGAGGAAGGGACCAUUAGCCCCAUUUUAUUGACCCAGAGCUGGAGCUCAGAGACAUGAGAGAACCUGCCCAGGGCCACUUCACCAGCUUGGAAACCCAAGCCCAGCACCUCCUCUCGAGCCCACACCAGCUCUCAAAACAAGCAG